rnacentral:rRNA from 1 species
UACGAAGGGGGCUAGCGUUGCUCGGAUUGACUGGGCGUAAAGGGCGCGUAGGCGGUUCGUACAGUCAGACGUGAAAUUCCUGGGCUCAACCCGGGGGCUGCGUUUGAUACGUGCGGACUUGAGUGCGGAAGAGGGUCGUGGAAUUCCCAGUGUAGAGGUGAAAUUCGUAGAUAUUGGGAAGAACACCGGUGGCGAAGGCGGCGACCUGGUCCGAUACUGACGCUGAGGCGCGAAAGCGUGGGGAGCAAACAGG